GGCAACCCGCUGGGGUUUCCUUCCACACUGUGGAGGCUUUGUUCUUUCACUCUUUGCAAUAAAUCUUGCUGUCGCUCACUCUUUGGGUCCACACUGCUUUUAUGAGCUGUAACACUCACUGCGAAAGUCUGCAGGUUCACUCCUGAAGCCAGCGAGACCACAAACCCACCAGAAGGAAGAAACUCCGAACACAUCCGAACAUCAGAAGGAACAACCUCCAGAUGCGCCACCUUAAGAGCUAUAACACUCACCGCGAGGGUCCGCAGCUUCAUUUUUGAAGUCGGUUCUGGCUUCCUGUCCUGGCCAUCCAAUCUAAUCCACCGCAAACAGACCUCGUUCCCCUUUGUCACUGCAGGCCAGCUCUGAACCGUCUAUUUUCUUUCACUGACAUAGAAAGAUGAGAUGCGUCAGCAUCCUUGCAAACAUGAAAGGCUAGCCGGUGAAGUGCUGAGUGCUGGAAACUUUGACUGGGCAUGAACAGGUAGAGAAACUAGAGAUUCUGUAUCAGAUGAAGUGACUCAGAGGGACAGAAUGGCCAUCGUUGGACAGUUUAAGUGCUUUCAUAAGGAAGAGGAAUCAGGAUUCACUUCAUGUGGUGCAUGGUGCAGAGUCAACGGGAUGAAUGUUUCCAGGAAGCAGAUUUCAGCCCAUGAUAAAGAAGAACUUUCUGGUACAUGGAAGGACUCCACAGUGGAAGGGGCUGACACUACAGAGUGAGCUUCCUAUUACAGGAGAUAUUCAAACCAGAUAGACGUAUCAUUCUCAGGUUCCUAGACUUAGCGUAAAGUAAAAUUAGAUAGCCUAUAAGUUCUAAUACUAUGAUCCUCAAAAAACACUAGUUCUGUAGUUUAGAUCACACCAAGAUUUCAGUUAGACCAUGGAAAAGAAGGAAAUUCGAUCUGGUGUUUUCAAAUCAAUUAUUGGGCAAAGAAUCAAGAUAUCCAGUUUCUGCAGUAGAACUUCGGGGCUUGAGGCUUGAUAUGGUUUGGCUAUGUGUCUCCACCCAAAUCUCAUCUCAAAUUGUAAUCCCCACGUGUUAAGGGAGAGACCUGGCGGGAGGUGAUUGGCUCAUGGGGACAGUUUCCCCCAUGCCGUUCUUGUUAUAGUGAGUAAGUUCUUAAGAAAUCUGAUGGUUUUAUAAGGGGCUCUUCCCACUUUGCUCUCGUUCUCUUUCAUGCCACCUUGAGAAGAAGGUACUUGCUUCUCCUUUGCUUUCCGCCAUGUUUGUAAGUUUCCUGAGGCCUCCACAGCCAAUCAGAACUGUGAGUCAAUUAAACUCCUUUCUUUGGUAAAUUA